CUAGUCUCUUCUUCAUCUUCAUAUUUAUAUCUUCUUCGUCACUUUGCAGUCCCAUAGACUUUGUAAAAUAGCCACAUUCUUCUUCUUUUCUCCUUUGAUUCUUCUGCUUAUAGUACUUGUAUUUUGACGUUGCCUAAGAGUUUCGUGAGGAUCCAAUGACCUUCUCCGCUGGCUAGUGAUGAUAAUCAGGGGUGAGACUGGUGUUGAUGUAAAGGUAACGCGAGAUAUUAGUGCGGUUCAAUCAAAUAGUCGUACUCUUAGCUAUUAGAGAUCGGUUUUGUUCGAUUGAGCCGUGCCAAUAUCACGCAUAAAACCAACAUGUCGAAGACGAGUUAUUAACCUCAAAAGUAUAUUGUCAAUCUUUUCAAAAUUAUUGUUUACUAUUCUGAAUGAUUUUCAGUUCGAUACUUUCUUUCUUCCAAGGUACCGUACAUGAUGUUAACAAGUAACACAAACCCCAAAAUCCAAGUACAAGGCGGAAAACACUUCUAUUUCUAGAAAGUAUCAAAGGAAUUUCAAGCAAAGAAUAUAUAUAUAGUGACAUGCCAAGGGAGUAGAAGUACUAGCUAGAUUGUAAAUGUUGUCAUGGUUUACAAUAGUGAUUAGUGAGGAUGUUGCAACAAUACUAAAAGUUAUAUAGUUUAUAUUUGUAAUUAUUUGCACUUGUGUCUAUAAUUUAAUUGUGGAAAGA